rnacentral:lncRNA from 1 species
GUCCUCUUCAACUAGUUUAGGUGUAGUCAAAGUGUCGGUGGUUUCAAAACAUUUUCUAGGUUGUUCGACCACCUUCCCAUUCCUAAGAGUCAUAACCGACUUUGCAUGUUCGGAAAAGGUAUCUGGGGUGUUUGAACUUUCAGCCAUAUACUGCCCCUUUGGGUUGCUCUCAGGUUGACUAGGCAAUUUACCUCCUUCCCUCCUACCAAAGGCUGUCGCUAGUUGCUCGAUUUAAGUCUCUAACUUGGCAAUGGAUUGUGUGUGAGAGUGGAGAGUUUGGGAGUUUGUUUCUAUCCUUGCUAAAGCUUGUAGAACCUUCUCUUCGAAGGCUGAGCUAUGAUUACUUGAAGAAGGUUGGGGAACAUUUUGGUAUUGCAAGUAGGGUGUGUUCCUAAAGUUGGUUUCUUGAUAAUUAGGUCUUGGUGGAAUCGGUGUAACAAAUGGCUGUGGUUUCCACGAGAAAUUGGGAUGGUUUCGCCAGCCUAGGUUAUGUUUUCGAAUACGGGUUGUUUCCUAGUUUGUGAGCCAUUUGAAAUUGAGCUUGGUGCACUUGCUCUUGCACAAACUCAGGAAACUGGGCUGCGGCUGGACAUUCAGUUAUACAAUGGGUGGGGCUAGAACAGAUUGCGCAAACUUCUUGUUGCGCACUAUACAUGGCUGGAGCAGGAGAGUCCUAUGUUCAGUAUGCGAUCCAUCUUCUGGGACAACUCAUCCACUUUGCUGUGAACAUCUAUGAACUUACCAAUUUUAUAGAUUCCAUCCUUUUUCUUAGUAAUGAGCCUACGUGGCACGAGGCAGACAUAUGGUGUAGAGAGUUUUCACUCAGUGUGUCGAAUAACCGCCAUGCCUCGUCCUCACUUUUAACAUGAAGAUCCCUCCGCAUGAGGC